UAUGGGUUUGUUAACGUACGUUUGUUUUUCAGUUAGUACGUUUUAACAAUGUGUACCGGAUUAUAGUAGACAAAAAUACCUUCAUUUAUCAUGGAUUCUAAGUUUUAAGGUCAAGGAUAUUUAAAUAAUUUUCAAUCUCAAAACUGAAAAAAAAAAACAAAAAAGAAACCCCCAAACCCUUACUCACCUCCCUCAUUCCUCUCAACCCUUUCUCUUUCAUCUCUCUCACUCCAACAUUUUCUUUGUCAUCCCUACUAAUCCACCUUCCUCACUUAUCCAAUUUGUUUCUCUCUCGUCUCCAUACUCUCCCUCAGCCACACACAACAAUCCGUG
rnacentral:lncRNA from 1 species